ACUGCUCAGUAACACGUAGUCAACAUGCCCAAAGGACGUGGAUAACCUCGGGAAACUGAGGAUAAACCGCGAUAGGUCAUAAGUACUGGAAUGUUUUAUGGCUCAAAUCUACAUGGCCUCUGGAUUGGACUGCGGCCGAUCAGGCUGUUGGUGAGGUAAUGGCCCACCAAACCUGUUACCGGUACGGGCUCUGAGAGGAGGAGCCCGGAGAUGGGCACUGAGACAAGGGCCCAGGCCCUAUGGGGCGCAGCAGGCGCGAAACCUCUGCAAUAGGCGAAAGCUUGACAGGGUUACUCUGAGUGAUUCCCGCUAAGGGAAUCUUUUGGCAUCUCUAAAAACGAUGUAGAAUAAGGGGUGGGCAAGUCUGGUGUCAGCCGCCGCGGUAAUACCAGCACCCCGAGUGGUCGGGACGAUUAUUGGGCCUAAAGCAUCCGUAGCCGGUCUUGCAAGUCUUCCGUUAAAUCCACCUGCUUAACAGAUGGGCUGCGGAAGAUACUACAAGACUAGGAGGCGGGAGAGGCAAGCGGUACUCAGUGGGUAGGGGUAAAAUCCUCUGAUCCAUUGAAGACCACCAGUGGCGAAGGCGGCUUGCCAGAACGCGCUCGACGGUGAGGGAUGAAAGCUGGGGGAGCAAACCGGAUUAGAUACCCGGGUAGUCCCAGCUGUAAACGAUGCAGACUCGGUGAUGGGCCGGCUUCAUGCCGGCUCAGUGCCGCAGGGAAGCCGUUAAGUCUGCCGCCUGGGGAGUACGGUCGCAAGACUGAAACUUAAAGGAAUUGGCGGGGGAGCA
rnacentral:rRNA from 1 species